GCGCCCGGCCGGCGUGGCUGGCUGUUUGAGGACUGCGCGCGGAGCUCCGUGGCGGGUGUCUGAAGUCGUGAGUUUACUGCUUGUAAGGAACAUAGCGAUCACUGGGAACCUGGAAGUAGAGACUCCUUUCUGCCAUCCAUCCGUCCCUCGGGCUGCUGCGAAUCCCCCCGCCGGCCUCCAGGACCCCGGGCUGACUGAACGCCCGCACCGGUCCCGCCGCCCCAGGGCCCGCUACGCGCCCGGCAUAAUGGGAGAAAAAUCACGACGGAAAGGCCCAGCCCCUCGCCAUGCAGACGGGAAGCUUGGCCGCACGUGUGAUCACCCUUACGCCCCUUGGAGUUUCACCCCCUCUUCGCGGGCUCCAACAGCCUGGGUCAGGCCUCCUUGUCCUGUGUGGGCCUCUCGGCUGCAAGAACACAGUCCCGAGCCCCGGCGAGCCCGCGCGCCUCCCACCCGCCGUGCACAGGCUGCACUUUACGCCCCAGCACUGCGCCUGCGGGACCAUCUGGAUCGCUUUUCCAUUCUGAUGACGUCCUGUACUUCGUGGCUGCAGGCUCCUCAAGCCCCAGGUCUGUGCAGAGACGAGCAAAGCAGCAGAAUAUCCGUGCCACAGCUUUCUGGAGCACCCAUUUUACUACCAGAUUUGGAAGGAACGAAGUUAAGUAAUUUCCAAGAAUCAUCUCCCCUGCCCCACAAACAUGAAAGAAAAGACAAGAGAAGCACCCCAGAAGAGGAGGGGAGAAGUGCCCCAGAAAAAAUCAUCCAGUCUCUGAAGCUUUGCCCAGCCAGUCUCCACCUCCAAAACAAGACUCAGAAAAAGGUGUGAAGCUCAAGUCGGAUGACCAUGACCCACGCGUGGCCACGGACGGGC
rnacentral:lncRNA from 1 species